CAGUUCUGCAGUUCACAUUCAAACUUUUUGUUAUAGAAACGGUACUGCAUUGUACUUAGGCCUUAGGAAGUCAGCUGAGGAUUUUAGGAUUGUGUCAAGUGAGUCUCAGCUGCAGACAGGAUUUAUAUAGUGUCCAUAGUUCAGCAAGGCUGAAAGUUGUAGUAUUUAGAAGCCCAGUGUUACUCAUUGUAACUUCACCAUAUGUGAUAUGACACUGGAAUUCUAUUUGAUAGCAGCCCAUACUUUACAAAGGUACAUUCCUGCAACUGGGCCUCAAAUGUGUAUGUUGUAUCCUGUAAAGGUUUACUGACUAUGAAUCUAUUAUGUCAUCCUGUUUCAGAGACAUAGAAAAUACAAUAAAGAAUAAGACUAUCUUAGAUAGGAUCUUUUCAUACAAUUAAAUUUCAAUUUUCUUUUAUUUAUGUUGGUACAUUUCCCUGAAUGUAUGCAUGUGUGCUAUGUAUUCCUCCAGCCUGUAGAGCUCAGAAGAGAUCAUUGGAUUUCAAAAAUUGGGAUGAAAAAUCUGUUGUGAAGUUUCAGGCAGGUGCUGGGAAACAACUUUGGAUUAUAGAAUCUAAACUGCAGACAAAUUUUCAAAUAGUGUUACGAUGGCAAGUCCUUCAUCUGCUGAUAAAGUCUUAGAAAACAUCAGAAAAUUCAUGAAGAGGAGAGACCUUAUAAAUGGUCUGUUAACAUUCAAGGAUGUGGCUGUGGACUUCUCAGAGGAGGAAUGGGAAUGUCUUGACCAUGCUCAGAGGAGAUUGUACUUGAAUGUGACAUUGGAGAAUUACAGAAAUCUAUUUUUUGUGGGUAAGAAUACUCUUCAUGUAGAAUUCCUGCAUCAUUCUUUAAAUUUUCCAAUUGUGUGUUUACAUAAACUCUCUGUCUAGAGACUCCCCAAAUAAGGGAAAUUCUGGUUACCAACAUAAAUUUUUCAUUGUUUUUCCUUUACAUUUCUUUCCAUUCUUUGGAAGAGGAACCAGU
rnacentral:lncRNA from 1 species